rnacentral:rRNA from 1 species
GAUCCUGGCUCAGGAUGAACGCUGGCGGCGUGCUUAACACAUGCAAGUCGAACGGGAAUUAUUUUAUUGAAACUUCGGUCGAUUUAAUUUAAUUCUAGUGGCGGACGGGUGAGUAACGCGUGGGUAACCUGCCUUAUACAGGGGGAUAACAGUCAGAAAUGACUGCUAAUACCGCAUAAGCGCACAGGACCGCAUGGUCCGGUGUGAAAAACUCCGGUGGUAUAAGAUGGACCCGCGUUGGAUUAGCUAGUUGGUG